AUGACCCUCUCCCGCAGCGGCGAUGGCCAGAGCGGCUCCGCGAGGGCGCACUUCGUGCUGGUACCGAUGAUGGCUCAGGGCCAUACCAUUCCCAUGACCGACAUGGCAUGCCUGCUGGCAGAGCAUGGCGCGCAGGUCAGCUUCAUCACCACGCCGGUCAACGCCGCUAGGUUGGAAGGCUUCGCCGCUGAGGUGGAGGCGGCGGGCCUGGCGGUUCAGCUCGUGGAGCUCCACUUCCCGAGUGUAGAGUUCGGCCUACCAGAUGGGUGCGAGAACCUCGACAUGAUCCAAUCAAAGAAUGUGUUCUUUAACUUCAUGAAGGCAUGUGCCAUGCUGCAUGAGCCGCUCAUGGCGUACCUCCGUGAGCAGCAGCGCUCGCCUCCUAGCUGCAUCAUAUCUGACAUGGCGCACUGGUGGACCGGUGACAUCGCAAGGGAGCUCGGCAUCCCGAGGCUCACCUUUAGUGGCUUUUGUGGCUUUUCGUCCCUUGUCAGGUACAACAUAAAGAGGCAAACCUUGUACAUCAUUUUUCACAACAAUGUAUUGGAGCAUGUCACAGAUGACAAUGAGCUCAUCACGAUCCCGGGGUUCCCUACACCGCUAGAGUUGACGAAGGCUAAGUUGCCUGGUGGAACCCUUUGUAUUCCGGGUAUGGAGCAAAUCCGUGAGAAGAUGUUUGAGGAGGAGCUGAGAUGCGAUGGUGAGAUCACUAAUAGCUUCAAAGAGCUCGAGACAUUGUACAUUGAAUCCUAUGAGCAGAUAACAAGGAAGAAGGUCUGGACGAUCGGGCCAAUGUGCCUCUGCCACCGAAACAGCAACAGAACGGCCGCAAGAGGAAACAAGGCGUCAAUGGAUGAGGCACAGUGCUUGCAAUGGCUUGAUUCAAGGAAGCCAGGCUCAGUGAUCUUUGUGAGUUUUGGAAGCCUCGCUUGCACUACACCUCAACAACUUGUUGAACUGGGACUGGGACUUGAAGCCUCCAAGAAACCAUUUGUUUGGGUGAUUAAAGCAGGAGCUAAGCUUCCAGAAGUCGAGGAAUGGCUCGCAGAUGGGUUCGAGGAGCGCGUCAAAGACAGAGGUCUGAUCAUAAGGGGUUGGGCACCACAGCUCAUGAUCCUGCAGCACCAAGCCGUUGGAGGAUUCGUGACGCACUGCGGGUGGAACUCAACAAUAGAGGGCAUCUGUGCAGGUGUGCCCAUGAUCACAUGGCCACACUUUGGGGAGCAGUUUUUGAAUGAGAAGCUGCUUGUGGAUGUGCUGCAAAUCGGGAUGGAGGUUGGAGUGAAAGGAGCUACACAGUGGGGAAGUGAAAACCAGGAGGUUAUGGUUACCAGAGAUGCUGUGGAGACAGCAGUGAACACCCUGAUGGGUGAAGGGGAGGCUACAGAGGAGUUGAGAAUGAGAGCAGAAGACUGCGCCAUUAAGGCAAGGAGGGCUUUCGACGAGGAAGGUUCUUCUUACAACAACGUAAGGCUGUUAAUUCAAGAAAUGGGAAACAAGACGAAUGCAUGUGGUUGA
rnacentral:rRNA from 1 species